rnacentral:rRNA from 1 species
CCUACGGGAGGCAGCAGGGGGAAUAUUGCACAAUGGGCGCAAGCCUGAUGCAGCGACGCCGCGUGGGGGAUGAAGGCCUUCGGGUUGUAAACUCCUUUCGCUAGGGACGAAGCUUUUUGUGACGGUACCUAGAUAAGAAGCGCCGGCUAACUACGUGCCAGCAGCCGCGGU